rnacentral:rRNA from 1 species
CUCGUAGGUGGCCAACUAAGUCAGACGUGAAAUCCCCAGGCUCAACUUGGGAACUGCGUCUGAUACUGGAUGGCUUGAAUUCGGGAGAGGGAUGCAGAAUUCCAGGUGUAGCGGUGAAAUGCGUAGAUAUCUGGAGGAAUACCGGUGGCGAAGGCGGCAUCCUGGACCGAGAUUGACACUGAUGAGCGAAAGCUAGGGGAGCAAACG